rnacentral:lncRNA from 1 species
GUUUCUCUGGUGCUGGUUACAGUAGCUAAGAGGGUGGAACGGCAGGACAAUUUGUCACACAAACAAAUUUAAAUGUGGACCGAGGGGUUUGCCCACCUUAUGAUGAGUGGUUGACUUGUGGCCAAAAACACAAAACAAAAACAAAAACAAGAGGUGGGGUUGAUGAGGUCUGGGGGACAAGAGUUGCAGUUUCGAAACAGAGUGGAGGCUCCUUUAAUCUUGACAGCCCGAAUGCUACAGGGGUCACAGCACAUCUGCUCCGGAGGAAAGACAAAGGGCAAGGUGGGGCCACGGUAGCCCGCGCGGGGCUCUUGGCGGGCUGGGGGCGGCGUGCGCCGAGCUGGGCGCGAGUGGAGGGGCCGGCGGCUUUGUGCGCCCCCGCCAGUGCCCGCCCGCAGCCCCGCCGCAGCGUUUAACCUUGACUUCUCCCUCCUCGCUUCUGGCACGGGAGGAAAGCCUGUCCAGAUGGGCGUCCUGAGUGUGACGACGUCCCCUCCCGCCCCCGCGCUCUCGCGCAGAUGUCGCACGCUGCCCUGGGUCCCGCCACACCGCCCACCAAGGCCGCGGGCCCUGCGCGCCCGGGGCAGGCGGGCACAUCCCGCACCCUCUCCGCCCGCCCGCCCCCGGCGCCCUUCGCAUUCCCUUCUUCGGCCCUGGCCCCUCGGACCGGAGCGCCCAGGCCAGCUCAGGGUGUUCCCGUGGGGGUCUCCGGAAACAAUGCACAUCUCAGGAUGGGGCAAUAUUUGGUGAGAACCAUAUUGGAUUCUACCAAAUUACAAAUAUAUUCCAGGUUGGCCUGAUCACUCACUCACCACUCCCUGCAACUCCAUGGAGAAGAUAUAAGCUGUCAAAAAUGUAUUUGUGAGUCUGAUGAGCUCUUUCACCCAGGUGACAGGGGUUUCUGCCAUAUUAAUAUUCUUCUUCUUCUCCACCUUUUGUGUUUCAAUGCUGGGCCUGGAGAAGGCAGGGACCUUGGCUCUUCCACGGUGGCUGUUCAUCAGCACUCACACAUCCACCACACCGGUUUAGUCGCACGCUGGAAGUAGAGACGGGGUUUCACCGUGUUAGCCAGAACGGUCUUGAUCUCCUGACCUCAUGAUCUGCCCGCCUCGGUCUCCCAAAGUGCUGGGAUUACAGGUAUGAGCCACCGCGCCUGGCCGGGAUAGCAUUUUAACUGGAUAGCUGACUGGCUGAUUUUAUAUUCCCACUUAAUGGAUAGAGAAAUUGAGGCAUUAGGAACCAUAUGGACCUGCCUUACUCUGAGAGGGAAAUAGGAGCAGGCCUGGGAAGUUUUCCCAGGAAAGAGAAUUUGUUAUAGCUUCAUAGAUUCAUGGGAUGCAUGAAUUUUCUUUUUCUUUUUUUUUGAGUUGCAAGAUUGUGAGGUUGCAGAUGCUCUGUGUAAAACAAUGCCCCACAGGGAGGGAAGUGUGAGGUCCGGCCUGAGGCCACCCUUAAAAAGGGCUAUAAACAGCAGCUGCUUCUAUUGUGCGUGCCAAGUGCUGCCUAUUAGUUUAGGUUUCCAAACUCCUUGUUUCUUUCUCUUGAACCAGAUGUGACCGAGCAAGAGUUUGUCAAUUCAGAGGUAGACCCCAGAUGGUGGGAAUCAAAGGAGGGAAGUGAGGGGCACACGGGCCUCUGGGGGCUGAGGCAGGAGACAGCUCUCUGCCUUUCUCAGGUACUCUGUUUUUCUGUCUUGGUGUCUGAUCCGUCCUUCCUUCUCCGGGUUUGGCAGCUGAGGCAGAGUGGGGAAGAGUGUCUGUGGUGUCUGAUCUUCAAGCUCACACAUGAGCUCGUGGAGGGCUCAGGACACAAAGGAGGGGGAUAGAUGACAGUGGAAGAGCACUCGGGAGCCCCAUUAGGCACCCCUGAUGGAGGGCAGGGAGGGGGCAAACAAAAGAGCCCCAGGCCGCUGGGCCACACAGAACCUGGAUGAUGAAACAGGAGGAUGCAGGCAGGAAGACAGAGCCACCUCUCUCUGCUGCCCCUGGCGAAGGGGUGCAUUCGUUCCCUGGUUGGUGGGGGAGAGACGCCAACCCAGAGCCACGUUAUUUCUGAUUCGUGGUGCAUGGCAUUUUUAUUUACCAUUUAUGAAACUGCGGGUUCAGAUGUGUGUGAUUUUGUUUUUUUGUUUUUUGUUUUUAUUUUUGAGACAGAGUCUCU